rnacentral:rRNA from 1 species
AACGAACGCUGGCGGCGUGGAUAAGACAUGCAAGUCGAACGAGAGAAUUGCUAGCUUGCUAAUAAUUCUCUAGUGGCGCACGGGUGAGUAACACGUGAGUAACCUGCCCCCGAGAGCGGGAUAGCCCUGGGAAACUGGGAUUAAUACCGCAUAGUAUCGAAAGAUUAAAGCAGCAAUGCGCUUGGGGAUGGGCUCGCGGCCUAUUAGUUAGUUGGUGAGGUAACGGCUCACCAAGGCGAUGACGGGUAGCCGGUCUGAGAGGAUGUCCGGCCACACUGGAACUGAGACACGGUCCAGACACCUACGGGUGGCAGCAGUCGAGAAUCAUUCACAAUGGGGGAAACCCUGAUGGUGCGACGCCGCGUGGGGGAAUGAAGGUCUUCGGAUUGUAAACCCCUGUCAUGUGGGAGCAAAUUAAAAAGAUAGUACCACAAGAGGA